rnacentral:rRNA from 1 species
GAUGAACGCUGGCGGCGUGCUUAACACAUGCAAGUCGAACGGAAAGGCCCAAGCUUGCUUGGGUACUCGAGUGGCGAACGGGUGAGUAACACGUGGGUGAUCUGCCCUGCACUUCGGGAUAAGCCUGGGAAACUGGGUCUAAUACCGGAUAGGAGCAGGGUUGGCAUGCCAUUGUGGAAAUUUUUUCCGGUGUGGGUGAAGGUCGCGGCCUUUAACCUUGUGGGUGGGGUAAUGGCCUACCAAGGCGUCGACGGGUAGCCGGCCUGAGAGGGUGUACGGCGACAUUGGGACUGAGAUACGGCCCAGACUCCUACGGGAGGCAGCAGUGGGGAAUAUUGCGCAAUAGGCGCAAGCCUGAUGCAGCGACGCCGCGUGGGGGAUGACGGCCUUCGGGUUGUAAACUCCUUUCGCUAGGGACGAAGCGUUUUUGUGACGGUACCUGGAGAAGAAGCACCGGCUAACUACGUG